rnacentral:tRNA from 1 species
GGUGCGGUACCCAAGUGGCAAGGGAAGAGUCUGCAAAACUUUUAUUCGCCGGUUCGACUCCGGCCCGCACCU